rnacentral:rRNA from 1 species
AUGCCUUGGCACGCUCGGCUCCACCGGUGUUGCAAGCCCAGUUCAUUUCGGAAUCAUCAAGCUUCCCGUGUACAUCUACCACCCAAGCCAUGUCAACGAGCCGAUGAGAUACUCAACAUUAUCUACUUCAGCUACUUCCUUCGUAACUACAAGAUACUUAAGAUGGAGGCCUGCUCGUCGAUGCUCCACUGGUUUACUGCAGUUUCAGGGCUUAGGGAGCGCCUCCUUGUUGACAACCUCUUCCUUGCCAAGCUCGUUGUGGAGUGCGUCGUCGAGCCAUCAGCAAUGUCUGUUUUAUUUUGA